CUCUCUCUCCUGUCUCUCUCUCUCUCUCUCUCUCUCUCUCGCUCACUCGCACACACACGCAUAUGCACACACACCCACACACACACAGUCAAGCCUCCUACUAAGUAGCAGUAUGUCUACUGCUCUAGUCUCUAAGACAGUGAAUAAUAAAAACCUGCCUGUUUGUUUUCCUCUACUCCAGGUGAUCCAUUUGUGGUUUGAACACUUCUCCCUGGAGGCAACAGACCUGUGCACAGCAGACUACUUUACAAUACAGGACAACCUGGGAGUCAUCGGGAGGUUGUGUGGGCGCUCCAAACCCGGGCCGAUAGUGUCAUUAGGAAACUAUGUUGUUGUUCUUUGACACCAAUGACAGAAAUACAGACAAGGGAUUCAAAGCGAAGUACCAAGCUGUGACACCAGAGAGUACUUUAGAAAUAGCCGGGGCUGGUGGCGCUCUCCAAGGUGACCACGGUGAUCUACUGACCCCUGGGUUCCCAGCACAGAACUAUGAGAACGGGG